UACGGGGGGGGCAAGCGUUGUUCGGAAUUACUGGGCGUAAAGGGCGCGUAGGCGGUCUGCUAAGUUGGAUGUGAAAACUCUGGGCUUAACCCAGAGCCUGCAUUCAAAACUGACAGGCUAGAGUUCUGGAGGGGGAAGCGGAAUUCCUGGUGUAGCGGUGAAAUGCGCAGAUAUCAGGAGGAACACCGGUGGCGAAGGCGGAUCUCUGGGCCUUACCUGACGCUCAGGCGCGAAAGCUAGGGGAGCGAACAGG
rnacentral:rRNA from 1 species